ACAGUCGGUCAAAUAAAGCUGG
rnacentral:miRNA from 2 species